AUGAACGCUGGCGGCGUGCCUAAUACAUGCCAGUCGAGCGAACGGACGAGAAGCUUGCUUUUCUGAUGUUAGCGGCGGACGGGUGAGUAACACGUGGAUAACCUACCUAUAAGACUGGGAUAACUUCGGGAAACCGGAGCUAAUAUCGGAUAAUAUUUUGAACCGCAUGGUUCAAAAGUGAAAGACGGUCUUGCUGUCACUUAUAGAUGGAUCCGCGCUGCAUUAGCUAGUUGGUAAGGUAACGGCUUACCAAGGCAACGAUGCAUAGCCGACCUGAGAGGGUGAUCGGCCACACUGGAACUGAGACACGGUCCAGACUCCUACGGGAGGCAGCAGUAGGGAAUCUUCCGCAAUGGGCGAAAGCCUGACGGAGCAACGCCGCGUGAGUGAUGAAGGUCUUCGGAUCGUAAAACUCUGUUAUUAGGGAAGAACAUAUGUGUAAGUAACUGUGCACAUCUUGACGGUACCUAAUCAGAAAGCCACGGCUAACUACGUG
rnacentral:rRNA from 1 species